GGUCUGAUCGUAUAACGGUUAGUACACAAGAUUCUGAGCACAACGCCGUGAUCAUCCUCCAAACAGGGUCCUUCAGGAGGAUCCCGGGGGUCACACAUCACUCGUUCUUGUAAUCUGGGUUCGAUUCCCAGUCGGACCU